GAUGAACGCUGGCGGCGUGCCUAAUACAUGCAAGUCGAGCGAACAGACGAUGAGCUUGCUCCUCUGACGUUAGCGGCGGACGGGUGAGUACCCGUGGAUAACCUACCUAUAAGACUGGGAUAACUUCGGGAAACCGGAGCUAAUACCGGAUAAUAUAUUUAACCGCAUGGUUCAAUAGUGAAAUACGGUUUUGCUGUCACUUAUUGAUGGAUCCGCGCCGCAUUAGCUAGUUGGUAAGUUAACGGCUUACCAAGGCAACGAUGCGUUGCCGACCUGAGAGGGGGAUCGGCCACACUGGAACUGAGACACGGUCCAGACUCCUACGGGAGGCAGCAGUAGGGAAUCUUCCGCAAUGGGCGAAAGCCUGACGGAGCAACGCCGCGUGAGUGAUGAAGGUCUUCGGAUCGUAAAACUCUGUUAUUAGGGAAGAACAAAUGUGUAAGUAACUAUGCACGUCUUGACGGUACCUAAUCAGAAAGCCACGGCUAACUACGUG
rnacentral:rRNA from 1 species